rnacentral:piRNA from 1 species
UUUGACCAACUACGAAGGCUGUGU